GAUAAACGCUGGCGGCGUGCUUAUGCAUGCAAGUCGAACGGGUCACUCCGUGACUAGUGGCGAACGGGUGAGUAACACGUAAGUAACCUGUCCCCAAGUAGGGAAUAACUCUGAGAAAUUAGAGCUAAUACCCUAUGUGGUGGUGGGGGUAAUGCCCCAUCACUAAAGCCUUCGGGCGCCUGGGGAGGGGCUUGCGUCCGAUUAGCUGGUUGGUAGGGUAACGGCUUACCAAGGCGAAGAUCGGUAGCUGGUUUGAGAGGACGGUCAGCCACACUGGGACUGAGACACGGCCCAGACUCCUACGGGAGGCAGCAGCAAGGAAUAUUGUGCAAUGGGCGAAAGCCUGACACAGCGACGCCGCGUGGGGGAUGAAUGCUUUCGGGUUGUAAACCCCUUUUCUCAGGGAAGAACAAUGACGGUACCUGAGGAAUAAGUCUCGGCUAACUACGUGCCAGCAGCCGCGGUAAUACGUAGGAGGCGAGCGUUAUCCGGAUUUACUGGGCGUAAAGCGGGCGUAGGCGGUCCUUCAAGUCGGAUGUAAAAUCUCCCGGCUCAACUGGGAGGGAUCAUUCGAAACUGCUGGACUUGAGGAUAGCAGAGGGAGGUGGAAUUCCCGGUGUAGUGGUGAUAUGCGUAGAUAUCGGGAGGAACACCAGUGGCGAAGGCGGCCUCCUGGGCUAUUUCUGACGCUGAGGCCCAAAAGCGUGGGGAGCGAACAGGAUUAGAUACCCUGGUGUCAUCCACGCUGUAAACGAUGGACACUAGGUAUGGGGGAGUACCGACCCUCUCCGUGCCGAAGCUAACCGCUAUAAUGUCUCCGCCUGGGGACUACGCCGCAAGGCUAAAAUCUGCAUAAAGGAAUUCGACCGG
rnacentral:rRNA from 1 species